rnacentral:lncRNA from 1 species
GAUCUUGAUCCUACUAGGAAGCUCGUCACUCUCUAUAUCUCUCUGUAAUUUGAGAAUAAUUAAUAAAAAAAUUUUAAAUUAUUAAAGAGCUAAAAUAUGCUAAAUAAAAAUUACUUACCAUUUACUUUAUAUGACGAGCGAACGGCCUCAAACCCUCAUAGUGUGCGACGGUCUAUCUCGCCUGAUUAAUGAUAUUUUGGGCACAUCGAUCCUAUACAGUUAACAGUUAAAUUAGUAAGUAACUAACUAAAUUUAAGAAUAAAUAAUUUAAUUAUUAAACUCUAAAAAAAAUUGGAUGCUUAACCUGAUAUGUC